rnacentral:rRNA from 1 species
GAUGAACGCUGGCGGCGUGCCUAAUACAUGCCAGUCGAGCGAACGGACGAGAAGCUUGCUUCUCUGAUGUUAGCGGCGGACGGGUGAGUAACACGUGGAUAACCUACCUAUAAGACUGGGAUAACUUCGGGAAACCGGAGCUAAUACCGGAUAAUAUUUUGAACCGCAUGGUUCAAAAGUGAAAGACGGUCUUGCUGCCACUUAUAGAUGGAUCCGCGCUGCAUUAGCUUGUUGGUAAGGUAACGGCUUACCAAGGCAACGAUGCAUAGCCGACCUGAGAGGGUGAUCGGCCACACUGGAACUGAGACACGGUCCAGACUCCUACGGGAGGCAGCAGUAGGGAAUCUUCCGCAAUGGGCGAAAGCCUGACGGAGCAACGCCGCGUGAGUGAUGAAGGUCUUCGGAUCGUAAAACUCUGUUAUUAGGGAAGAACAUAUGUGUAUGUAACUGUGCACAUCUUGACGGUACCUAAUCAGAAAGCCACGGCUAACUACGUG